rnacentral:rRNA from 1 species
GACGAACGCUGGCGGCGUGCUUAACACAUGCAAGUCGAACGGUGAAGCGCCUUCCUUUUUGGUGGGUGUGGAUGAGUGGCGAACGGGUGAGUAACACGUGAGUAACCCGCCCCCUUCUUCUGGAUAACCGCAUGAAAGUGUGGCUAAUACGGGAUAUUCUGGGUCUGUCGCAUGAUGGGUCUGGGAAAGAUAUUGUUUCGGUGGGGGAUGGGCUCGCGGCCUAUCAGCUUGUUGGUGGGGUGAUGGCCUACCAAGGCGGUGACGGGUAGCCGGCCUGAGAGGGUGGACGGUCACACUGGGACUGAGACACGGCCCAGACUCCUACGUGAGGCAGCAGUGGGGAAUAUUGCACAAUGGGCGCAAGCCUGAUGCAGCGACGCCGCGUGAGGGAUGGAGGCCUUCGGGUUGUGAACCUCUUUCGCCAGUGAAGCAGGCCUGCCUCGUUUGUGGGUGGGUUGACGGUAGCUGGAUAAGAAGCGCCGGCUAACUACGUG